rnacentral:rRNA from 1 species
GAUGAACGCUGGCGGCGUGCCUAAUACAUGCAAGUCGAGCGAACGGACGAGAAGCUUGCUUCUCUGAUGUUAGCGGCGGACGGGUGAGUAACACGUGGAUAACCUACCUAUAAGACUGGGAUAACUUCGGGAAACCGGAGCUAAUCCCGGAUAAUAUUUUGAACCGCAUGGUUCAAAAGUGAAAGACGGUCUUGCUGUCACUUAUAGCUGGAUCCGCGCUGCAUUAGCUAGUUGGUAAGGUAACGGCUUACCAAGGCAACGAUGCGUAGCCGACCUGAGAGGGUGAUCGGCCACACGGGAACUGAGACACGGUCCAGACGCCUACGGGAGGCAGCAGUAGGGAAUCUGCCGCAAUAGGCGAGAGCCUGACGGAGCAACGCGGCGUGAGUGAUGAAGGUCUUCGGAUCGUAAAGCUCUGUUUUUAGUGGAGAACAGAUGUGUAAGUAACUGUGCAGAUCGUGACGGUACCUAAUCAGAAAGCAACGGCUAACUACGUG